CCUGCUAAGAUUACAGGCGUGAGCCACCGCACCUGGCAAAAACUGUGCUUUCUUAUGGUAUAUUUUUUUCCCUUUCUUCUGAAACAUUUUUAGAUUGUUAUCUCAUUUUACUUCAUUUUACAUCAGAAGGUUUUCACAUAGGAGUCCGUAUUCUUAGGUUUUGUAUGCUUUGGAGGAUUUCACUCUCUAUUCAUUCCCUGUGAGGUCCUAUAUGAUGCCUGUUUCCAAGGGAAGAAGUAAAGUCAAGAAACAAGAUAUCCUCAAGCUACUCUUAGGAUCAGUGUCUGCAUAGAUCUGGCACACAGAAAUGCAAGGAAACAAUUUGUGCAAAGCAUUAAAAAAAAAAGGGGGGACCCUGAGAGUAUAACAAGUGCUCCUGAGAGAGGACAGACGGAGAGGACGCAUGGGCAGGGAUGGCCGCCCUGAGCAGCUGAUGUUCGAGCUAAGAUCUGAAAGGUGCAUGAUUUCCCACUUACCUCCCGCAACCACUACCACCCACGUUGUCCACAGUAUUCAGCUGUCUCAGGGAGGAUCACAAUUAUUCUAAUGGGACUGCAAAGAGUGAAGGACACAGCUUUUAACAUCAGAUUCGAAUCCUACAAUUUGGAACCCAUGGGCACUUCUAGAUUGGAUCUUGCAGAGAUUUUUUACAACAGAAAUAAUGGAAAGGCAAAAGAAAACAUUGAGUAAUAACCAACCCAAGCAAGUCCAGCCUCUUUCUGCAGAAGAUAAUCAGGAUGACUCCACCUUUGUACCUGACUGAGGAACUUAGUGAACCCUGAAGAAAUGAUGAUUAAAGAGACAAUGAAGAGGCCAGGCGCAGUGGCUCAUGCCUGUAAUCCCAGCACUUUGGGAGGCCGAGGUAGGCGGAUCAUGAGGUCAGGAAAUCGAGACCAUCCUGGCUAACAUGGUGAAACUCUAUCUCUACUAAAAAUACAAAAAAUAAGCUGGGUGUGGUGGCACGUGCCUGUAAUCCCAGCUACUCAGGAAGCUGAGACAGGAGAAUCGCUUGAACCCAGGAGGUGGAGGUUGCAGUGAGCCGAAGUCGUGCCGUUGCACUCCAGUCCGGGUGACAGAGUGAGACUCUGUCUCAAAAAAAAAAAAAAAAAAAAAGGACAAUGAAGACAGGAGACAUUGGGCUGUGCCCUUCUAGAUAUGACAGGGAGCAAAUAAGCCAACUCCAGGUCAGUAUAAAAUCCUAGGUGAUCAUUAAAAUCACUUAAAUAAGCCAACUCCAGGUCAGCAUAAAAUCCUAGGCGAUCAUUAAAAUCACUUAAAAUUAAAAUCCUAGGUGAUCAUUAAAACCACUUCAAAAAGACAUGUUUUGGGAGCUAUGUGUUCAGGGAAACAGAGGAGAAAACAACUGGGACUCUAUGAGGUGCCAGGUUUGAAGCUGUAUGGAUGUGACUGAUGUCAGGUUUUCAUGAGCCCAGUGGAAAAUUUAGAGGCAGUAAACUGGGCAACUGGGGCUGUUGGUGCUUGAGUAAUGCUUGGGCAUCAAGAUCUCCAAACUGUGUGGCCGCACCUGUGGUCCUAGCUACUCAGGAGGCUGAGGUGGGAGGAUAGUUGGAGCCUGGGAGAUUGAGGCUGCAGUGAGCUGUGAUGGUGCCACUGUACUCUAGCCUGGGUGACAGAGCGAGACUUGUCUCAAAAAAAAAAAAAUCUCCAAACUGGACUCUCUCUCACUAGGGAUUUGUCUCUUUCUCCUCUCCUUCUCUUCCUUCCUAAUUAUCUCCUUUUCUUUAUUCACAAUAUAUAUAUCCUCAACUAUGGAUAAGUGUGCUUAUACUCAGCUAUAUUUUCUUUUUUUCCAGCUAUAUUGAUGUAUAAUUGACAAAUAAAAAUUAGAUAUUGUUAAGGUGUACAACAUAGUGCUUGACAGAUAUAUACAUUGUGAAAUAAUUACCACAACCAAGCAAGCUAGUUAACAUAUCCAUCACCUCAUGUAGUUACUUUUUUGGGUUUUUUUUUUUUUGGUGUGGUGAGAACACUGAAAAUCAACUCUCUUAGCAAAUUUUGAGUAUUCAAUGAAGUAUACUUGAAUAACACUGUAUACAAAUUCAAGUAUAAAUUCAAGUAUACAAUGCUAUUAGCUAUAGUCAUCCUGCUAUAUAUUAGUUCUCCAGAACCUACUCAUCAUAUAAGUUAACGUUUGUACCCUUUGCCCAAGACCGCCCCACUUCCUCCUCCCACCAGCUGCUGGUAACAACCAUUCUACUCUCUGUUUCUAUGAGUUUGACUUUUUUAGGUUUUGCAUAGAAGUGACAUCAUGCAGUAUUUAUCUUUCUGUGUCUGGCUUGUUUCAUUUAGCAUAACGUCUUGCAGGUUCAUUCAUGUUGUCGCAAAUGGCAGGAUUUCCUUAUUUUUAAAGGCUGAAUAUUCCAUUGUGUGUGAAAAUAUAUGAUAUCAACUGUAUUUUCAUAUAUGUGUCUAACUGGAUGGCCUCUUAAUAAACUUUAAAGGAUUAAAGAUUGUCAUUAGAGAAUUCUAAAUAAGGUGGUUUUAGGUUCAUAUUAUACAAUACAUGUAAUGUGCAUGCAUUAUGUCGACUCUUAUUAAAUUCUAAGUCCUACUCAAUAGUGUUGAGAGCAUUAAUGCACCCAAGAAUUUUGUUUUUUUAUUUAACUUAGUGAGAAAAUAUAACUUAAUAUAUAGCAAUUCACUUAGAUUGAUAUAGAAGUAAUUAACACCACAUUCUUAUUAAUAGAUUUCU
rnacentral:lncRNA from 10 species